GGCAAUUUCAACUUCAACUGACUUGUGAAGUUGAUUACAGGAUACAGCUUUAGCUGUUGGUUUUCUUUAAGACCAUUUGCACAGAAACUGCGAUCUUGAGCAAUCAAAGUAAUGACAGCUGAUUUUUUAUGCGAUGCUAGUGCAGUGAUAUACGUUGGGGAGUCGGGACCCAUUCCAAUGCAGGGAUCAAGAUGCUUUGAAGAAGAAUAUGUGAAUUGUGAAAACGCGAUAGUCUCUAUCACGGUGGACGGGGAUUCUCUAAAGAAUGAAAACGGUCUUCUCUCAAAAAAAGAAUAGUUCUUGAUUCGCUAAAAGAUAUGGAAAGAUACGCGACAACUCCUUCAAUGGAUGGAUCAAAUGAGAUAGAAGAAUUAAGGAUUAGAUUGAAAGCUGCGCACGAACUAAAUCAAUUGCAAGAAAAGAAUUUUUCGACGUUAAUCAAGGACUUAGAACAUAGGCUUGGCCAAGCGAUAACCAGUCGCGACGAACUAUUAAAAUUAAGACAGCAAGAAUCACUGAGACAACAACAGUUGAUUUAUCAUUUGCAAACAGCGUUACAGCAGUCAAAGCAGACACUGGAGCAACGUAACCAUGAAAUAUCUCAGUGCAAAGGUAAGCACUUUAAAACGCAGAUGGUGUUGAUUAACAUUCAUAAACUGCUGAGGAACGAAGAAAUAGAACCUGGAAUAGAAACUGCGUCGGGUCAAACUUCAUUAGUUGACAAUGAAUUGCUGGAAAAGCAUCUUUGCAAAGAAAUCUUGGAACGGUUUAGACAGGACGAAAACAAUUGCAGACUUGAAAGAUGAUCGCUUGAAGUUCGAAGAAAAUGAAGGACUUGCAGCAUGCCAGCGAGUUGGAUAAGACAACUCUUGUUCACGAAUACGAGAACAAAUGUCAGAAAAUGGAGUCGGACCAUGCAAGGUCCCUUGACAUAGCUGAAAGAACCUUGAUGGAACGUAAUCGCAACGCGAAAUUAUUAUUAGAAAUAGAAGAAGUCAGGAAAGAACACGAGAAAUGUAUUAAUGAAAAGGAACUGACGAUUGCUUCUAUGGAAGAGUCUAUUGCUUCGUUGCGUACUGAAUUGGAGCACACGAUGAAACAGGAUGACUUUCAAAGCGACAAUUUGACAUCUAAUGAAGAAUCACAAGGCGACUUGACGUCGAUGAGUGGAAAACGAAGAGUUGAGGAGAAAACUACGAGAAAAACACUAAAAUACAGCGGAGUAUAGAGGCGCGUUCAAUCUUUGGGGUGAAAUAAAAGAUAGAACAUUAAAUUUGGAAAAUGUAUGGAAAAGUAAUGAACAACAAGAGCAAGAAUAUAUUCGUGAAAUAUCUCCAGUUGAAAGAUGAUGCGAAGAAAGUAGAUGAAAAUAUGCAAGUCUUGAUUAAACAACAUCAAGAAAACUUGGAGGAACACAAAAAGAGAUGCUCGCUUUACAAGACGAGCUGAGUCGUGAACAGAAAUUGUAAAAUAUGUCGAAAAGAGCGUAAAAUUGAUGGAAAAAUUGGAAACUGUCGAAACAGAGAAAUCUGUCUUUGAGGCGAUGCAAAUAUAUCUCGUGAAUGCGACAUUUUAAAAAGAAGAAAUCAUGAAUGCGAAAACCAGAGACAUGAUUUGUCGAGUAUUGUACGCGGAAACGUGGACGAUUUGAAUCGUGCUCGCAGGGUUAUUGAAGACCUGCAAGGCAAGCUGGUCGAACGAGAAAGAAAUUUACGAGUGUUCAACGAGCAUGAAGUGUGAACAUGACUGGAGUUUUGCAUCAAAAGAACUCACCGGAGCGUCGUUGUUGCAAGAGCGAAAGCAAAUCGUCGCAUUUCUUGAAGAAAAAGUGCGUGAAAACGAGCAAUUAAAGAAAAAUUGCGAUUCGUUGACGGAAAAACUCGAGUCUAAUGUUCACGUUUUGACUAAAAUGGAAGAGACCUGUCUUGCAUUAAAAAACUGGAAGUCCGCUCGAAGGAAUUGGAUGUGAUCAUGGAGGAUCGAAAUAAAGCCGUUAAAACUUGGAAAACAAAGCAAUGGAA